ACUCCUACGGGAGGCAGCAGUGAGGAAUUUUGCGCAAUGGGAGCAACCCUGACGCAGCAACGCCGCGUGGGUGAAGAAGGCCUUCGGGUCGUAAAGCCCUGUCAGGUGGGAAGAAGGGUCCUAUCAGGAAAGGGGUGGGAUUUGACGGUACCACCAGAGGAAGCACCGGCUAACUCCGUGCCAGCAGCCGCGGUAAUACGGAGGGUGCGAGCGUUAUUCGGAAUUACUGGGCGUAAAGCGCGUGUAGGCGGGGGAGCAAGUCUGAUGUGAAAGCCCCGGGCUUAACCCGGGAAGUGCAUUGGAAACUGUUUUUCUUGAGUACUGGAGAGGAAGGGGGAAUUCCCGGUGUAGAGGUGAAAUUCGUAGAGAUCGGGAGGAAUACCAGUGGCGAAGGCGCCCUUCUGGACGGUUACUGACGCUGAGACGCGAAAGCGUGGGGAGCAAACAGGAUUAGAUACCCUGGUAGUC
rnacentral:rRNA from 1 species